UACGUAGGGGCCUAGCGUUGUCCGGAUUUAUUGGGCGUAAAGAGCUCGUAGGCGGUUCGGUAAGUCAGGUGUGAAAUCUCCACGCUCAACGUGGAGGCGCCACCUGAAACUGCCGUGACUCGAGUCCGGUAGGGGAGUGUGGAAUUCCCGGUGUAGCGGUGAAAUUCGUAGAUAUUGGGAAGAACACCGGUGGCGAAGGCGGCUCACUGGCCCGUAACCGACGCUCAUGCACGACAGCGUGGGGAUCAAACAGG
rnacentral:rRNA from 1 species